rnacentral:rRNA from 1 species
CAUGUCUUUUUGAAUAUUAUUUAAGGUUUAAUCUGCUCAAUGAUUAUUAUUAAAUUGCCGCAGUAUUUUAACUGUGCAAAGGUAGCAUAAUAAUUAGUUUCUUGAUUAGAAGCUGGAAUGAAUGAUUGGACAAGAAAAUUUCUGUCUCUUUAUUAAUAUUAUUAAAUUUUAUUUUUAAGUGAAAAAGCUUAAAUUUAUUUAAAAGACGAGAAGACCCUAUAGAGUUUAAUAUAUAUUAUAGAAUAAAAUUAGUAAAUAUAACUAUAAAUAUAUUUAAUUGGGGUGAUUUAAAAAUUUAAAAAAUUUUUUAAUAUAAUAAUUGGUGAUUUCUAAAAUUAAUAUCUGAAUUAACAAGAAUAAUAAAAAUUACCUUAGGGAUAACAGCGUAAUUUUUUUUAAAAGUUCUUAUUUAAAAAAAAGUUUGCGACCUCGAUGUUGGAUUAAAAUUAAUAGUUGGUGUAAUUACUAAUUUAUUUGGUCUGUUCGACCAUUAAUAUUUUACAUGAUCUGAGUUUAAACCGGUGUAAACCAGGUUGGAUUCUAUCUUUAGAUUAAUAGAUUAUUUUAGUACGAAAGGACCAAAUAUUCAUUAGAAUAAUUG